rnacentral:rRNA from 1 species
CGCGGCCUAUCAGCUUGUUGGUGGGGUAACGGCCCACCAAGGCAUCGACGGGUAGCUGGUCUGAGAGGACGAUCAGCCACACUGGGACUGAGACACGGCCCAGACUCCUACGGGAGGCAGCAGUGGGGAAUAUUGCGCAAUGGGCGAAAGCCUGACGCAGCAACGCCGCGUGGGGGAUGACGGCCUUCGGGUUGUAAACCCCUUUCAGCAGGGACGAAAAUGACGGUACCUGCAGAAGAAGCCCCGGCCAACUACGUGCCAGCAGCCGCGGUAACACGUAGGGGGCAAGCGUUGUCCGGAUUUAUUGGGCGUAAAGAGCUCGUAGGCAGUUGCGUAAGUCGGAUGUGAAAACUCAGGGCUCAACCCGGAGACUGCAUUCGAUACUGCGCUGACUAGAGUCCGGUAGGGGAGCAUGGAAUUCCUGGUGUAGCGGUGAAAUGCGCAGAUAUCAGGAGGAACACCAGUGGCGAAGGCAGUGCUCUGGGCCGGUACUGACGCUGAGGAGCGAAAGCGUGGGUAGCGAACAGGAUUAGAUACCCUGGUAGUCCACGCCGUAAACGUUGGGCACUAGGUGUGGGGCCUACUUAACGGGUUCCGUGCCGUAGCUAACGCAUUAAGUGCCCCGCCUGGGGAGUACGG